CAGCCACCUCACCGCUGGACAAGAUCACUCUGUGUCUGUAGAGUUUGUGAGAGAGUACCAAAAGGGAAAGAGCAAUUCUACUGGACGGGCACCAGCCAGCAUAAUAGUGAUAAGCAGCACCAGUAUCAGCCUCAGGGAGCCAGAGGAAGACCUGAAACCCAUCAGGGAGAGGAAGAGAAAGGCCGAUGUCCCUGAAGAGUCCUCUAAGAAGAGGCAGAGAGUCUCUGAGCCAGAGCAAGGCACCAGCAGCUCAGUUUCUGACAAAUCUGAGUUUGAGAGAAAAUACAAACGUCUUGGACUGAUUGGCAGAGGGG